AAAUUUUAAGAGUUUGAUCCUGGCUCAGGAUGAACGCUGGCUGUGUGCCUAAUACAUGCAUGUCGAGCGAGGUUCUUUUGAACCUAGCGGCGAAUGGGUGAGUAACACGUGCUUAAUCUACCCUUUAGAUUGG
rnacentral:rRNA from 1 species